rnacentral:rRNA from 1 species
UUUAUGGACGUUAUUUUUCCCACCAAAAGGUUUAACACAAGUUUUUUAACCCGGGAAGGGGGUCACGCUCGCCAAAUCCAAAUUACAAUAUGCCUCGUGGAGUGGGACAAAAUUAGUUCCAUGGUGGGGAUAGUCUUUUGACAGCUAAGGCUAAAGCCUUGGUAGCCAUUUCUCGGGAGGGAGGUUAUUUACCCCCGGCCCAUUAAAGCGAUAAAUCUUCCCCCCCGGGGGAUUAUACAAAAAAACCCACCAUUUCUAAAGGCCAUUCCGUACUAAUAGGUAGAUUCUUAUGCAAUACUCUCCCGUUUGGCAAUCCAAUUAUUUUUAAGCCUCUGGCUAUAGGAAAUUGUUAGUGGCAGACGGGUGAGUAAUGCGUAGGAAUCUACCUAGUAGUACGGAAUAGCCAUUAGAAAUGGUGGGUAAUACUGUAUAAUCCCCGAGGGGGAAAGAUUUAUCGCUAUUAGAUGAGCCUACGUUAGAUUAGCUAGUUGGUGAGGUAAUGGCUUACCAAGGCUAUGAUCUAUAGCUGGUCUGAGAGGACGAUCAGCCACACUGGAACUGAGAUACGGUCCAGACUCCUACGGGAGGCAGCAGUGGGGAAUAUUGGACAAUGGGCGAAAGCCUGACCCAGCUAUGCCGCGUGAGUGAAGAAGGCUUCGGGUGAAACUCACGG